GAUGAACGCUGGCGGCGUGCCUAAUACAUGCAAGUCGAGCGAACAGACGAGGAGCUUGCUCCUCUGACGUUAGCGGCGGACGGGUGAGUAACACGUGGAUAACCUACCUAUAAGACUGGGAUAACUUCGGGAAACCGGAGCUAAUACCGGAUAAUAUAUUGAACCGCAGGGUUCAAUAGUGAAAGACGGUUUUGCUGUCACUUAUAGAUGGAUCCGCGCCGCAUUAGCUAGUUGGUAAGGUAACGGCUUACCAAGGCAACGAUGCGUAGCCGACCUGGGAGGGUGAUCGGCAACACUGGAAUUGAGACACGGUCCAGACUCCUAGGGGAGGCAGAAGUAGGGAAUCUUGCGAAAGGGGGGAAAGCCUGACGGAGCAACGCGGCGUGAGUGAUGAAGGUCUUCGGAUCGUAAAACUCUGUUAUUAGGGAAGAACAAAUGUGUAAGUAACUAUGCACGUCUGGACGGUACCUAAUCAGAAAGCCACGGCAAACUACGG
rnacentral:rRNA from 1 species